rnacentral:snRNA from 1 species
GUGCUCGCUUCAGCAGCACAUAUACUAAAAUUGGAACAAUACGGAGAGGUUCUGUAUGACCCUUGCACAAGCAAAACAACAACAACACACGGAAUAAUUUCAGAAGUAG